CAACAAAUGGCUGAAAUUUGAAGCAGUGCAUUUAUUAUAAUUAUCAUCAUUCUUAAUAUUAUAGCAUUUUAAUUUCACACUGUCCCUGACUACCAAACUUACUUCCUGCUUUUAUAGCCUAUGAAUAAAUUUAAAAUUUUUUAUGUAGUUAUGGCACAUUAUUCUUCACUAUGAAAUAUCAAGGUUAUUCAAUAAAGUGAG